AACACCGAGCCUCUCCAAUGGGCAGAGCGAAUUCAAAUUUUGAUUUUCGUAACCAGCCUCUGUCCUCCUGUCGAAACUUCCUGUUUCUGAGGAACAGAGAUUUUUUACAGAUCCCAGAGGACAUCCAGUAAACCCAACAGCUAUUACAAAAUAAUUCUGGUUUUGAUGAGCUCAGCGGGUAUGAAUCAGAAGCAGGCAGAGUGGCGUUUCCUUUGAAAUAUACCCAAGAUUAAACGUUAGAGGGGGAAGCAAAAAUAUAUUUGGGGAUUUAUUGCCGGCGAGGAAAUAAUUGGCAAUGUUGGCACCUUGGGCCACGUGGAAAUGGUCUUUCCUUCCUUCUGUGUGAGCAGGAACCGCCGUGGGUCCGAACGAGGGGGACACUGCUAUUGCUCACACAGAAGCCAUCUCCUGGCAUCCAGGGGCCCAUCCUCAUGGUUCUCACCUGGGGCUCCUAUUUGUACAAGAGAAUUCCAGGGGGGAGGGUCAUCUUGGUGGGCUGUGGCCUACAGGAGGACCUGGCUUCAAUUCCCUCCGGAGGGAGCCCCGGGAGCUUCGCCCAGAUUAUGGGGAUUGGAGGCAGGGAGACAGCACACAGCUAGGAGUUGCCCAGCCCUUGACUCAGGGAGCCGGGGCUGCGGGACCUGCAGUGGGAUCAGAGAGGGCAUGGCUGAACGGACCAGGCUGGGUGGGCCCCACUUCACAGUGAAGCCUGCCCGUUUUUAGGGGCACCCUGUGCCACUGGCUGUGGCCGAGGAGGAGCUGCUAAAUACCGUGGAAGGCAAGAACUCCCACGACAGCGGAGGCUGAGCUGGGGCUGCAGGGCCAUGCUCGUGCUGCUUGGAGACUCCUCCACUGGGAGCAUAGCUUGCCUGGGCGCCGGGCGCGGAGCUGUGCUCUUUCUGUUCUUUAUUGCCUUGAAUCGUCACACCGGCCUUAAGAAAUGGAUACUCUUACUACCUUUUGCAGGUCUUGCCGAGGAGCCCAGAAGGAAAACCGCCCCUCCAGCAAGAGAGGGACAUUUUGACCCAGUGCCUCUUCCCACUGGUUUUGCAGAUGAGCCCUCCCUCUUCCCACCUGUCCCGCUUGCGCCAGCUUUAGAGAUGACUUCUGCUCUGCUGGGCGCCCUCCGUGACUAACACAGGCAAGUGCGUGGGCCGCCACAUGUCCUGGCCUCUACCCCACCUCCCUGCCCCAUGUCCUCAUCGCUGCCUCGUGGCUUCUGGGGGCAAGGCCUCGGGGAGGUGUGAGGCUGUUCCCCCCACCCCCACCCCGAGCUCCCUGGCGUGGGCGUGGGCUGAUGCAAGCUGGCAGCUUCUGUGACCCCUGCACCAGGUCAGGCCCAGCACCGGGCUUGAGUUUUACCCUCAGGGAGUUGGCAGCUGGGGUGGGGGUAAGCUGUCACAUAUGCAUAAACAGGACGGA